rnacentral:misc_RNA from 1 species
ACUGUGCAUGGCAUGCAGUCAGGGUAGUAAAUUAAUUUCUCUUUCGCCCAACCUUAAACUAUUUUUUCAUUUAUCUUCAAAUAUUUGAAUAUUUGUUGUUUUCAAACUAUGGCUUGAAGUUUAUCAUCCAUGAUAAUGUAGUUGAAUUGGAAAUCAAUAUAUAAAUUCCAGAUAUUUAGAUCUAUUAUGUAAGGAAUGCUGGUAUGUUGCCACUGUUUGUAAAAUCAUAAUUUUUCAUUGUCCAUGUUAAACACGCAUCCUCAUAAGUGUAUUUUGGUACCUUCAGUGGGAAUGAUAGAUGUUCCUUUGUUAACAUGUUUUCUUUUAUGAAAGCAAGUAGGUAGGAGGAUUCACUCUGUCAGCUUGACUAGAGUGCUGUUCUAGACAAAUUUUCUUAUGACCUUUAUGUUGAAGUCGUGGAAGCUAAGUUCUAGGACCUUCAUUGCAUCUGAUUAAUAUUUAUAAUAUUUGAAUUUGUCCCAAACCUGACUAUUAUUAUCCAAAUACUAUUCAAAUCCGUUAACUUGAUAUAUUUUAAUAAAAAUAUAUAUAUAAUAUAUUUUUAUUAAUAACUUAUGUUUUAAGAAUUUAAUUAUUUUAUGAAAUAUUUAAAUUCUAUUCAUUUAGAAUUUAUAAAUAUUAUAAAAAAUUUACAUUUUAUAUUUAAUUGAUUAUUUAUAUAAAUAAGUUCGGAUAAUAGAUAUUCCACUCAUAAAACCGAACCUGAACCCGCACAACCAUUAUAUCUUUGAUUCCAAACCCAUAUCAAACUCAAUUAUAUACUACCCCAACCCAUUUUAAUAGGAUUUUAUCAGAUCGGCUUGAAAAUACCUAACUUGACCUGUUGUCAUCCCUAUUUUUGCGAAGACAAGCAAACACAUCUGCUGGUAUGAUGACAUGAAGGCCCUGUAUAAACUAAUAUAGAUAGAAGUAAAUGUAGCAUGUGCACAUGUUGCCAGCAAGAUACUGGGUGAAGAUGUAGGAUGUAAAAUUAGAUGACUUUCUGCUGUUAUUAUCUCCACUGAAUUUACCUUGGAAUUACUUGUUUGGUGGCAGGGAUCUGAUGCAUUCUCUCAAUCUGGUCUAUAUUCCAAUCACCAAGACAUUGGCCCCCCAUAUGCUGGAGUUCUGUUAGGACUA